rnacentral:lncRNA from 1 species
GUUGACAUGUCAUCACUUCAUUUUUUUGCGCCUGCGCAUAAAUCUGAGAAACGUGAGUUUGUCAUCAUUUUUUAUCUAGACAUAGGAUAGGUUGUGUGAAAAUAUUACUGAUGUUUAACGUUAAAAAUGGACCAAAAGAUUAAUGCUAAACAACAUUUGACAUGUUUGAACGAACAUAAAUAGAUUAUUUACUAGGUUUUUUUAGCUUUUCGGCGUGAUUUUACCAGCCCCCCAACCACGUUUUGUGGGAGCAUAAUGAACGCUAAGUACUUGGUGUUAUUUGGACAUAAAUUAUGAACUUUGUCAAAAGAAACCACAUUUGUUCCGGACCUGGAAUGCCUUCCGGACCUGGGAUCCUGCCUUCUGAUGGAGAUAAUCAAAGGCCGGUGGUGGCUGGUCCACUCCAGGAGUCUGAGGUGCGGGAGGUUCCUCCACCCCCUCUGGACAUCGAGG